rnacentral:misc_RNA from 1 species
UAAUAACAAUCGGGAGUGUUGCUCUAUUUGGUAUCACUUUUGGAAUUGAGUUAUCUUUAACCCCAUGGUUUUAAGUGACUUAAAAUUAAAGUCUUAUACGUAUUUUAGGCGUAAUUAGAAUAUUCUAUACGUCUCGAAUACUAAAAUUCUUUUAUUAGGCAUGACCAUCGCCAUUAUAAUAUGGUAAUCGUGCCUAUAAUUCUUUUUGA